rnacentral:rRNA from 1 species
CCUACGGGAGGCUGCAGUGGGGAAUAUUGCACAAUGGGCGAAAGCCUGAUGCAGCAACGCCGCGUGAGCGAUGAAGGUCUUCGGGUCGUAAAGCUCUGUCCUAAGGGAAGAAUAUUGACGGUACCUUAGGAGGAAGCCCCGGCUAACUACGUGCCAGCAGCCGCGGUAAUACGUAGGGGGCUAGCGUUAUCCGGAAUUACUGGGCGUAAAGGGGGCGGAGGCGGCCCUUCAAGUCAGAGGUGAAAGGCUACGGCUCAGCCGUAGUAAGAGUUUGAAACUGUAGGGCUUGAGUGCAGGAGAGGAGGGUGGAAUGGCGAGUGAAGCGGUGAAAUGCGUAGAUAGAUGGCGGAACACCAGUUGCGGGGGCGGCUCGCUGGACUAUAACUGACGCUGAGGCAGGAAAGCGUGGUGAGCGAACAGGAUUAGAUACCCCUGUAGUC